GACUGGAUAUAUCAACGAAAAUUAGCCCUCAGGGUCAGGGUAUUUGGAUUUAAGUUAAUAUAGCCUGAAUACCACAUUUUAGGGAUAAGAUGCCAAUGGGAGAAAUUUUCUACCUCAAAUUUUCUAUGGUACCAAAAUGACCCUUAAAGCCACAUUUUUGACCAGUGAUGGCAAAUGAUAAAUUGUCCUACACAACAUUUUGCUCUGGGUCACCAAACAAAUGAAAUCUGUAUAUAUGAUAUAUUAUAGUGAAAAAAUCAAUAACAAAUUUAAUAUAUAAGAAUAAGGAAUAUGUCAUGUAAUUUUCACAUGUUAAAGAAAUAAUUCAACACUAAAUUUCACGAUGGGUCAGCGAGCAAACAAAAUCUUUAGAUAACAUGGAUCAUCGUGAAAAUGGCACUAACCGAUUUUAAGUUUACAUAUUGGGCUAUUUUCCAUAUUUUUUAAUAAACAACCGAAAUGACUAUUGAAACCACAUUUUGGGGGAUGAUGCCAAUAGAUAAAUGAUUCUAUAUAAAAUUUUACUAUGGGUCCGCGAACUAAAAAAAUGUCUUCCGUAAGGGCAACAUCUUGGAUAACAAAUUGGUGCUUUAGCCCAUUCUUUUGUCACAUCUUGCCUUUCUUUACAAAAGCCGUAUUUUUUCCAUCUGACGAUCUAUAUCAAAUGAUUUUUUGUUAUUCCCCAAAUCCGCAGUAUUCCUCCAUUAAAAAACUUAUUUUAUAUCAUUCUUAACAUUUUAUAUCAUCUGCUUGGUAUGAUUCCCACAAUUGUUUAAACAUUUUAUUUAUUCAAUUUUUUCUUCAGCAACGACAGCCUUGACAGCCAACUUUUACGGGAGCCACAAACCGCGAAAUAUUCUAUCAUUUUUUAGCCUUGUCCAUCCCAUAAUGAUUGAAUUGUUACAAUUGUUCGCACCUAACUGUAUUUUUAACGGCAAAUCAAGAGCUCGAAAGAUUUACGUCCGUUUCAUAGCUAAAGAAAUUGAAAAAUGUUUGGUCUCAAAAUAAAUAACAAAGCCGGACCAAAUUUUGAAUUUUGCUAACUUUGUUGCCGUUAGAUAAUUUUUUGAAGGCGCUAUGUUUAUUUGUUAAUUUCUUGUAUUUUUUUUUGUUUAGGAAUUGUUUUAAAAAAUCUGACGACGACAUUUUUUUUGAUAUCUUGUAAACGGAAGAAAUAUCAUACAUCAAGUUUGCAAUGGGCCUGUGAAAAUAGAAAGUUUCUGGACAGGAUAUAUACCACGAAAAUUACCACUCAUGCUCAUCUGAAUACCUCAUUUUUGGGAUAUGAUGUCGAUGGAAGAAAUUUUCUACAUGAAAUUUGCUAAGGAUAAUUUAUUUACAACGGAUCUAUAGUUAGUUAUUUCCACUAACUAAAGAUCCAAUGUAAAUAUGGGAUAUAUCGGUCCACUCCUUCUGGUACCUCCCACACAAAGGCUCAAAAUUUUGAAUAACUGUGAAGCUCAUAACAAGCGAAAUUGACAUCCGAUUCCAUUCUAUA